rnacentral:rRNA from 1 species
UCCUGAAGGAACGGUGAAGACGACGACGUUGAUAGGCCGGGUGUGUAAGCGCAGCGAUGCGUUGAGCUAACCGGUACUAAUGAACCGUGAGGCUUAACCUUACAACGCCGAAGCUGUU